rnacentral:rRNA from 1 species
GGGAUAUUGCGCAAUGGGGGAAACCCUGACGCAGCAACGCCGCGUGAAGGAAGAAGGUCUUCGGAUUGUAAACUUUUGUCUUUUGGGACGACGAAGUGACGGUACCAAAGGAGGAAGCCACGGCUAACUACGUGCCAGCAGCCGCGGUAAUACGUAGGUGGCGAGCGUUGUCCGGAAUUACUGGGUGUAAAGGGCGUGUAGGCGGGUAAUCAAGUCAGAUGUGAAAUACCGAGGCUUAACUUCGGGGCUGCAUUUGAAACUGAAUAUCUUGAGUGCAGGAGAGGAAAGCGGAAUUCCUAGUGUAGCGGUGAAAUGCGUAGAUAUUAGGAGGAACACCAGUGGCGAAGGCGGCUUUCUGGACUGUAACUGACGCUGAGGCGCGAAAGCAUGGGGAGCAAACA